rnacentral:rRNA from 1 species
CGGGUGAGUAAUGUAUGGGGAUCUGCCUGAUGGAGGGGGAUAACUACUGGAAACGGUAGCUAAUACCGCAUAACGUCGCAAGACCAAAGAGGGGGACCUUAGGGCCUCUUGCCAUCGGAUGUGCCCAGAUGGGAUUAGCUAGUAGGUGGGGUAAUGGCUCACCUAGGCGACGAUCCCUAGCUGGUCUGAGAGGAUGACCAGCCACACUGGAACUGAGACACGGUCCAG